rnacentral:lncRNA from 1 species
CCAUGCAUGUAACUAGGCUAAGGUAUGUUUGAGGUUGCUCCAUGAGAUUCAUGUAUAUUUUUUAGUAGUUAGCUUGAGUUCUAACUAGCCCAUGGUUCAAAUCUUUACUAUGUCAUGGAGAUGAUAUUCGGCUAAGGUGGAUUUGUGUUGAUAUCAUUUGCAUGCUAAAAGUGAAGCUUUGUAAUGGUGCAUGUGAUGGUGGAUUGAUGAUUCUUGAAUCUUCUUUUUAGCAUUUUUGAGUGAGACAUUAAGUUCUUUGUUUAACCAUGACCAAAAAUUGAAAUGGUAUGGUGUUGUGAUGCAUUCGGCCAUGGUAGGAAGUAGAAGGGG